rnacentral:rRNA from 1 species
GACGAACGCUGGCGGCGUGCUUAACACAUGCAAGUCGAACGGAAGGGCCCUGCUUUUGUGGGGUGCUCGAUUGGCGAACACGUGAGUAACACGUGAGUAACCUGCCCUUGUCUUUGGGAUAACUUCAGGAAACAGGGGCGAAUACCGCAUAGGAUCUCCUGCUGCAUGGUGUGGGUUGGAGAGAUUCGGCGGUUGUGGAUGGACUCGCGGGGUAUCAGCUUGUUGGGGGGGUCGUGGAUUACAAAGGCUUUGACGGGAACCGGGCCUGAGCGGGUGACCGGCCACACUGGGACUGAGGUAAGGCAGCGGCUGCUAAGGGAGGGAGCAGUGCGGAAGAUUGCACGAUGGGCGGCAGGCUAAUGAAGCAACGCCGCGUGCGGGAUAACGGUCUUCGGGGUGUAAACCGUUUUCGCCUGUGACGAAGCGUGAGUGAAGGUAAUGGGUAAAGAAGCACCGGGUAACUACGUG